AAGAGGAUGAGGAGGUGGGCUCCCGUGUGGUGGCCAGGUGCUCCUUCUCAGGGUCCACGUCGAUGGAGUCCAGGCGGACCUGAGCUGUGCUGCGGGGCUGCCGCUCGUUCUGUACUGCUGCAGAGAGGAAAAGGAGCAAUCAUCAUGAGAUACAGCUGCAGUUUGGAUUGUUACCUCACAGUUUCACAUGCACUUCUUCAGCCGACACGCCUGGCACUGGUUGCGAUGAGCUUUGUCCACUGGACACAUGCCUGUACCGGCCUGGCACCUGUUAACCCACAACCAGGAUGUUAAAGGCAUAGUCCACUCAAAACCAGCAGACAAACUGCAUGUAGUAAUUACAAAGAAAUACACAUUUAUGCUAAAAUU